ACGGAAGGCAGCAGUGGGGAAUAUUGCACAAUGGGCGCAAGCCUGAUGCAGCAACGCCGCGUGAGUGACGAAGGUCUUCGGAUCGUAAAGCUCUGUCCUUGGUGACGAAGAAUUGACGGUAUCCAAGGAGGAAGCCCCGGCUAACUACGUGCCAGCAGCCGCGGUAAUACGUAGGGGGCGAGCGUUAUCCGGAACUAUUGGGCGUAAAGAGUACGUAGGUGGUUUUGUAAGCGUGAGGUGAAAGCCUGCAGCUUAACUGCAGCGAGCCUCAUGAACUGCCAGACUUGAGUGCAGGAGGGGUAAGUGGAACUCCAUGUGUAUCGGUGAAAUGCGUAGAUAUAUGGAAGAACCCCGGUGGCGAAGGCGACUUACUGGACUGUAACUGACACUGAGGUACGAAAGCGUGGUGAGCAAACAGGAUUAGAUACCCUGGUA
rnacentral:rRNA from 1 species